rfam:Danio rerio chromosome 4, GRCz11 reference primary assembly.
GCCUUGUUGGCGCUGUAGGCAGCGCGUCAGUCUCCUAAUCUGCAGGUUAUGAGUUCGAGCCUCACACGGGGCA